AGAAGUUGAAGGAGAUGCAGAAAAAAAAAAAAGUAUGACUCGAAGGAGGCGGAGGCAGCCAACCUGCAGAAGGAAAUCGGAAAGAUCAAGAAGGAUCUUCAGGAAAAGGAGAAGGAAAACAAAUUAGAGCAGGACAAACUCGAGGAGCAACAGAAAGAGAUGAAGAAGAAGUACGACUCGAAGGAGGCGGAGGCA